rnacentral:rRNA from 1 species
UACGGAGGGGACUAGCGUUGUUCGGAAUUACUGGGCGUAAAGCGCACGUAGGCGGCCAACUAAGUCCGACGUGAAAUCCCCAGGCUUAACCUGGGAACUGCGUCGGAUACUGGAUGGCUUGAAUUCGGGAGGAGGAUGCAGAAUUCCAGGUGUAGCGGUGAAAUGCGUAGAUAUCUGGAGGAAUACCGGUGGCGAAGGCGGCAUCCUGGACCGACAUUGACGCUGAGGAGCGAAAGCUAGGGGAGCAACGGGG